UCUUAUGGAUGAGCUAAGAAAGUAGUUUCUUGAAAUAGAAUCUACUCCUGGUGAAGAUGCUUUGUAAA
rnacentral:pre_miRNA from 3 species